rnacentral:rRNA from 1 species
CUAACAAGGAUUCCCUUAGUAACUGCGAGUGAAGUGGGAAAAGCUCAAAUUUAAAAUCUGGCAGUCAUUUGGCUGUCCGAGUUGUAAUCUAGAGAAGUGUUGCCUGUGCUGGACCAUGUACAAGUCUCCUGGAACGGAGCAUCACAGAGGGUGAGAAUCCUGUCUUUGACAUGGACUACCAGUGCUUUUGUGGUAUGCUCUCAAAGAGUCGAGUUGUUUGGGAAUGCAGCUCAAAAUGGGUGGUAAAUGCCAUCUAAAGCUAAAUAUUGGCGAGAGACCGAUAGCGAACAAGUACCGUGAGGGAAAGAUGAAAAGAACUUUGGAAAGAGAGUUAAACAGUAUGUGAAAUUGCUGAAAGGGAAACGCUUGAAGUCAGUCGCGUUGACUUGAAAUCAGCUCUGCUUUUGCUGGGUGUACUUUCUUGUCAAUGGGUCAGCAUCAAUUUUGAUCAUUGGAUAAAGUUAUUGGGAAUGUAGCAUCUUUAGAUGUGUUAUAGCCCAGUGAUGCAUACAGUGGUUGGGAUUGAGGAGCUCAGCACGCCAUCAGGCCGGGUUUCGACCACGUUCGUGCUUAGGAUGCUGGCAUAAUGGCUUUAAUUGACCCGUCUUGAAACACGGACCAAGGAGUCUAACAUAUCUGCGAGUGUUUGGGUGGAAAACCCAUGUGCAUAAUGAAAGUGAAAGUUGAGAUCCCUUUUCUCUGAGGGGGGAGCAUCGACGCCCGGACCAGACCUUUUGUGACGGAUCCGCGGUAGAGCAUGUAUGUUGGGACCCGAAAGAUGGUGAACUAUGCCUGAAUAGGGUGAAGCCAGAGGAAACUCUGGUGGAGGCUCGUAGCGAUUCUGACGUGCAAAUCGAUCGUCAAAUUUGGGUAUAGGG